AUGGAUCAACCCACACAUGUGCACAUCAAGCACGCGGCUCCGGUUGAUGCUAAUGGCUGUGGGGUUCGUCAACGACUGCGCUGCCGGAGAGAUAGUGGACGGUGGCGAGCAGACCUAGAAGUAUGUCUUGAGAUGCAGAGCUUCUACACCCACCCAAACUGCACCCCGCAGGCCACGGAUGCAACACGGAGAGACGCCUUGCGAGGGGUUGGCGGGGAAUUCGAGGACGUGCUCGUUAGCCGUGACCGCGAGCCAGGGGUGGUCCGUCGUAGAUCUGGGAGCGCCGCCGCCUCACCUGCUCGAUCUGGAAUCCGCAGAGGGGGUGGAGAGAAGGUGAGGGGAGGGGGAGAUGUUGUGGGCGGCGGCUGA
rnacentral:rRNA from 1 species